ACGGAAGGCAGCAGUGAGGGAUAUUGGUCAAUGGGCGAGAGCCUGAACCAGCCAAGUAGCGUGCAGGAUGACGGCCCUAUGGGUUGUAAACUGCUUUUAACCGGGAAUAACGUUACCUUCGUGAAGGUAAGUGCAUGUACCGGUUGAAUAAGGAUCGGCUAACUCCGUGCCAGCAGCCGCGGUAAUACGGAGGAUUCGAGCGUUAUCCGGAUUUAUUGGGUUUAAAGGGAGCGUAGGCGGGAAGUCAAGUCAGCUGUGAAAUGUAGACGCUCAACGUCUGCACUGCAGUUGAAACUGGUUUACUUGAGUGCGUAAGAGGCAGGCGGAAUCCGUCGUGUAGCGGUGAAAUGCUUAGAUAUGACGAAGAACUCCUAUUGCGAAGGCAGCUUGCUGGGCCGCAACUGACGCUGAAGCUCGAAGGUGCGGGUAUCGAACAGGAUUAGAUACCCUGGUA
rnacentral:rRNA from 1 species